rnacentral:rRNA from 1 species
UACGUAGGGUGCAAGCGUUAAUCGGAAUUACUGGGCGUAAAGCGUGCGCAGGCGGUGAUGUAAGACAGUUGUGAAAUCCCCAGGCUCAACUUGGGAACUGCAUCCGAUACUGGAUGGCUUGAAUUCGGGAGAGGGAUGCAGAAUUCCAGGUGUAGCGGUGAAAUGCGUAGAUAUCUGGAGGAACACCGGUGGCGAAGGCGGCAUCCUGGGCCGGUAUUGACGCUGAGGCGCGAAAGCCAGGGGAGCAAACGGG